AAUGAACGUUGGCGGCGUGGAUUAGGCAUGCAAGUCGAGCGCUCACCCGCAAGGGUGGGAGCGGCGAAAGGGAGAGUAACGCGUGGGUAUCUGCCCUCGGGACUGGGAUAGCUGCGGGAAACUGCAGGUAAUACCAGAUGACGUCCCCGGACCAAAGGUGUGAUUCCGCCUGAGGAUGAGCCCGCGUCCUAUUAGCUUGUUGGUGGGGUAAUGGCCUACCAAGGCAAUGAUGGGUACUGGGUGUGAGAGCACGACCCAGCUCACUGGGACUGAGACACUGCCCAGACACCUACGGGUGGCUGCAGUCGAGAAUCUUCGGCAAUGGGCGAAAGCCUGACCGAGCGACGCCGCGUGUGGGAUGAAGGCCUUCGGGUUGUAAACCGCUGUCAGAGGGGAGGAAUGGGCGGAGGGUAAUCUCUUCGUUUUGACCUAUCCUCAGAGGAGGUACGGGCUAAGUUCGUGCCAGCAGCCGCAGUAACAC
rnacentral:rRNA from 1 species